rnacentral:sRNA from 1 species
UGACAAUUAAACGAUCUACAUUACCACGAAGAUGAUCCGCAAUUAUUCCAUUACUAACACUAAACCGAUCUAGCUGAGGAUCGUCCAUGAGUAGUCGUUUUGGCCGGAAUUCCUGGCGGAAAAUCCAUGUCGGCUGUCAGAGAAGAAUCAGGACUCCCUUCGCAUCCGUACCCUUUGAUAGUAAUCAUUACCUCUGCAUCCUGUACGACUAACACUUGAUUAUCCUGCAGUGGACAACAGGGAAGGGUUUUUGAUGAUGACCCCACUUGUGCUUCCACUUGAUGCCUUUGAGACAGCAUAUGCCCCAUCAGGAAGUCCAAGAAGCGAUAGCUCCGUUGUGGAUGCGUUUGGCAGGCAGGUGACUGUUAACUGACAGAGUGGGUGCUCAAGCAAUGACCGAUGAGGGACAUACAUGAUUCGCCGGCGGCAACUCCUGAGUAGAGAGGGGCCAGACUCAGCUCCAGGUUCAACGUCGCGAGACCAAAUGUAGAUGAAAAACGAGCUCAGAUAGGUCCGGGUUGCUAUCGAGUAUUUUGAGCCUGGCGAGUAUUGGAGCCGUCCCUAACACGUCGCUGUCUAGGUAGUGAGGAGAGGAAUUCCCGGAUAACUAGGCCUGCAACCGGUCAUUUGGCCAAUGCCAGCUCGCGGCGUUCUUCC